ACAUGCUGUGAGCUCGAUGAGUAGGGCGGGACACGUGGUAUCCUGUCUGAAUAUGGGGGGACCAUCCUCCAAGGCUAAAUACUCCUGACUGACCGAUAGUGAACCAGUACCGUGAGGGAAAGGCGAAAAGAACCCCGGCGAGGGGAGUGAAAAAGAACCUGAAACCGUGUACGUACAAGCAGUGGGAGCCUCUUAAUGGGGUGACUGCGUACCUUUUGUAUAAUGGGUCAGCGACUUAUAUUCUGUAGCAAGGUUAACCGAAUAGGGGAGCCGAAGGGAAACCGAGUCUUAACUGGGCGUUAAGUUGCAGGGUAUAGACCCGAAACCCGGUGAUCUAGCCAUGGGCAGGUUGAAGGUUGGGUAACACUAACUGGAGGACCGAACCGACUAAUGUUGAAAAAUUAGCGGAUGACUUGUGGCUGGGGGUGAAAGGCCAAUCAAACCGGGAGAUAGCUGGUUCUCCCCGAAAGCUAUUUAGGUAGCGCCUCGUGAAUUCAUCUCCGGGGGUAGAGCACUGUUUCGGCAAGGGGGUCAUCCCGACUUACCAACCCGAUGCAAACUGCGAAUACCGGAGAAUGUUAUCACGGGAGACACACGGCGGGUGCUAACGUCCGUCGUGAAGAGGGAAACAACCCAGACCGCCAGCUAAGGUCCCAAAGUCAUGGUUAAGUGGGAAACGAUGUGGGAAGGCCCAGACAGCCAGGAUGUUGGCUUAGAAGCAGCCAUCAUUUAAAGAAAGCGUAAUAGCUCACUGGUCGAGUCGGCCUGCGCGGAAGAUGUAACGGGGCUAAACCAUGCACCGAAGCUGCGGCAGCGACACUAUGUGUUGUUGGGUAGGGGAGCGUUCUGUAAGCCUGCGAAGGUGUACUGUGAGGUAUGCUGGAGGUAUCAGAAGUGCGAAUGCUGACAUAAGUAACGAUAAAGCGGGUGAAAAGCCCGCUCGCCGGAAGACCAAGGGUUCCUGUCCAACGUUAAUCGGGGCAGGGUGAGUCGACCCCUAAGGCGAGGCCGAAAGGCGUAGUCGAUGGGAAACAGGUUAAUAUUCCUGUACUUGGUGUUACUGCGAAGGGGGGACGGAGAAGGCUAUGUUGGCCGGGCGACGGUUGUCCCGGUUUAAGCGUGUAGGCUGGUUUUCCAGGCAAAUCCGGAAAAUCAAGGCUGAGGCGUGAUGACGAGGCACUACGGUGCUGAAGCAACAAAUGCCCUGCUUCCAGGAAAAGCCUCUAAGCAUCAGGUAACAUCAAAUCGUACCCCAAACCGACACAGGUGGUCAGGUAGAGAAUACCAAGGCGCUUGAGAGAACUCGGGUGAAGGAACUAGGCAAAAUGGUGCCGUAACU
rnacentral:rRNA from 1 species